rnacentral:misc_RNA from 1 species
GGUGGAUUGCGCCAGUACGACAAGUGUUGCUUCCAUAAGCAAGCCAUGCAUUGUACCAGAAAUGACUGGGAGUACUGUGUGGGAAAGUACAUGUCCUUUGAACCAGGAGCAGGCGUGCUUAAUUCCUCAAUAAGUGCUUUGUUUCUCCUAUAUUGUUCUGAAUUUCUAUAUGCAACUGCAAAAUCUAUCCCCAGAACUGUUUCUUGAGCUGAAGUAGUAACUUCCAACAUCCAAGUUGCUGGGUUGUAACCAUCUUUAAUGUUGGCUACACCUUCAAUUCCCUCAAAAUACUUGAUUAG